AGAGCUGCCACCACUAAGCAUCUACAUGAACCCGGAAAGUGGGAGGUGAGGUCAGGUGGGAAGGGACUCUGGGGAGCUGCAGCAGGACACCACGUUGGGGGCGCUCAGUGGAUUGUGCAGUGACAGCACCCACCGUUUGCGAAAUGACACUGACAAAGCCAGAGCUCCAUCUUCUGUGCUUUGGGGCCCACACUUGGAGCACUCUUAGCAAGUGACCAGUUGCCAGGGGACUAGUGUGCAACCUCAUGCUCCCUUCCAGCCUGCUCCUGCCCUCCCAAAGCAAAGCCCCUCCCCCCAAUCUCUGUGACUACAGGACUCCCGGCACUAUCAGAAACCCCCCAGCAACUGCAAAAUGCAAUCACCCUCUGGUGAUAACGCCCUAAUUAUGUAAAGGUUCAUAAGUUGAUAGACAAAUCUUCUGCACAUGUGGCUUCAGCACUGGCUCUACUCAACGGUUUUAAACUGCUGUGGAAUGCAGGCACGGUAUCUGGGCCAGGCGUGGGCACGGCUUCCAAGAACCGCCAGAAUCAAGGAGAUGACGCAGUGCCUGGGACACCACGCAGGCCUUGGGAAGGUGGCUCUGUCCAGCUCCCGGGGAACUCAUGGUCAGUAGCUGCUGGGGCGGAGCAGGAGCUCGCCCCCCUGUAGGGCACCAAAGCAGAGCAGGGGGUGACACAGGUGUUGCAGUGGGGCCAGGGGAUCCGGUACAAACACCAGCUCCACCGCGUAUCAGGCCAGAGGAGUCGGCGCCCCUCAGAGCAUCUCACCUCGGACAGAGCAGCACCCUCCUGGAGACGUGUGGAUGGUGGGCUAGUUGGGAAAAGGCACGCUCUUUGCAUUGUGACUUUGCAGCUCUCCCAUCAAGAGGUGGAGACUAUUCCACAGCCCUGGUCUGGGUGGACCUGUGACUCCCUUUAACUGAUAGAACACAGUGGUAGCAAUGGUGCCCCAUUUCCCAGUCUAGCCAUCCAGAGACCUUACACGCUUCUGCUUGGCCCUCUUGGAAUCUUACCACUGUGUGUGAACAAGCCUGGCCAGCCUGCUGGAGAACGAGAGAGCAUAUGGAGGAGAGUCCACUGAGCUCAGCCAAGACCAUCCUAGAGCAACCUAGAGCCAGCCUGGUGCCGAAUGUGGGAGAGUGCUCAGGCAAAAUCAGCAGAGUUGCCUACCCAAUCCGCAGCUGCCCACAGGCUCAUGAGAGAGCCCAGUGAACCCAGAGGUACCACCCUGCUGAUCCAUGAUUUUGUGAGCGAUAAUAAAUGCCUAUUGUUUCAAGCCA